rnacentral:lncRNA from 10 species
UGUGUGUGUUAGCAUCUAGGUAGCCCUUCUCCUUGACAGUAACUCAUACCACUAAGCACAUACAUUCACUAUACACAUAUAUACACAUAGAUUGUACAGAAUUCCCAUAUAUCUGUUCAAAUGUUGCUCAUGUAACUUAUCUAAAUUUUCUUAACUAAACUUCCUUAAAGCUAGAGAAUUCAUUUUCUAUGUCCUUUACAUUCUCCAAAAUGUAAGUCUAUGCCUGUAGUAGACUCUUAAUUGCUU